rnacentral:rRNA from 1 species
UACGUAGGUGGCAAGCGUUAUCCGGAAUUAUUGGGCGUAAAGCGCGCGCAGGCGGUUUCUUAAGUCUGAUGUGAAAGCCCACGGCUCAACCGUGGAGGGUCAUUGGAAACUGGGGAACUUGAGUGCAGAAGAGAAAAGCGGAAUUCCACGUGUAGCGGUGAAAUGCGUAGAUAUCUGGAGGAACACCGGUGGCGAAGGCGGCAUCCUGGACCGAGAUUGACGCUGAGGCGCGAAAGCCAGGGGAGCAAACGGG